rnacentral:misc_RNA from 1 species
CCGCAAUAGGGAUGGAAGUGGAAAUCCCGGAACAGGCGUUGGCAAAGCAUUGGCGUGAGGAAUUGCAACGGACAGCCCGGCUUUUU